UACGUAGGGAGCAAGCGUUGUUCGGAUUUACUGGGCGUAAAGGGCGCGUAGGCGGCGCGGUAAGUCACUUGUGAAAUCUCUGAGCUUAACUCAGAGCGGCCAAGUGAUACUGCAGUGCUAGAGUGCAGAAGGGGCAAUCGGAAUUCUUGGUGUAGCGGUGAAAUGCGUAGAUAUCAAGAGGAACACCUGAGGUGAAGACGGGUUGCUGGGCUGACACUGACGCUGAGGCGCGAAAGCCAGGGGAGCAAACGGG
rnacentral:rRNA from 1 species